CAGGAUGAACGGUGGGGGUCUGCUUAACACAUGGAAGUCGAACGCACCUUUAGGGGUGAGUGGAGGACGGGUGAGUAAUGCGAGAGAAUCUGCCUUCAGGAGGGGGGGAAGCAGUGGAAACGGUGGCUAAUACCGGAUGUGCCUUUACGUAAAAGAUUUAUCGCCUGAAGAUGAGCUCGCGUCUGAUUAGCUAGUUGGUAGGGUAAAAGCCUACCAAGGGAUCGAUAAGUAGCUGGUCUGAGAGGACGACCAGCCACACUGGGACUGAGACACGGCCCAGACUCCUAUGGGAUGCAGCAGUGGGGAAUUUUCCGCAAUGGGCUAAAGCCUGACGGGGCAGGACCACUGAGGGAGGAAGACCCGUGGGUUGUAAACCUCUUUUAUUAGGGAAGAACAAAAUGACGGUACCUGACCAAUCAGACUCCCCUAACUCCGUGCCCGCAGCCCGCGCUAUACGGAGGAGGGUAGUCUUAUUCGGAAUCAUUGGGCGCAAAGCCGUCCGCAGGUGGUUUUGUCAGCUUCCUGCUCCCUACCACACCCCCAAAGCCGGUAAAGUUGUGGAAACUACUACCCCGGCUGUGCUGGAUCGACCCAUCCC
rnacentral:rRNA from 1 species